UUCGGACUGAGUACAGGCGGCGGGACGGGUGAGUAAUGCGCGAGGAAUCUACCGUGGUAGGUGGGGGAUACGUACGGGGAACUACGAACUAAUACCGCAUACGCCGUACGGGGAAGCGGGGGACCUUCGGGCCUCGCGCUAUCAGAUGAGCCUGCGUAGGAUUAGCUUGUUGGUGAGGUAAAGGCUCACCAAGGCGACGAUCCUUAGCUGGUCUGAGAGGAUGAUCAGCCACACUGGAACUGAGACACGGUCCAGACUCCUACGGGAGGCAGCAGUGGGGAAUAUUGCGCAAUGGGCGAAAGCCUGACGCAGCCAUGCCGCGUGUGUGAAGAAGGCCCUUGGGUUGUAAAGCACUUUCAAUUGGGAAGAAAGGUUGCGUGUUAAUAGCACGUAGCUGUGACGUUACCUUUAGAAGAAGCACCGGCUAACUCCGUG
rnacentral:rRNA from 1 species